CCUACGGGUGGCAGCAGUGAGGAAUAUUGGUCAAUGGUCGGGAGACUGAACCAGCCAAGCCGCGUGAGGGAUGAAGGUACAGAGUAUCGUAAACCUCUUUUGUCAGGGAACAAAGGAGGGGACGUUUCACCGUAUGAGUGUACCUGAAGAAAAAGCAUCGGCUAACUCCGUGCUAGCAGCCGCGGUAAUACGGAGGAUGCUAGCGUUAUCCGGAUUGAGUGGGUUGAAAGGGUGCGCAGGCGGUCUGUUAAGUCAGCGGACAAAGCCCUGGGCUCAACCCGGGCCCGCCGUUGACACUGGCAGUCUCGAGUUGGACAGAAGUAUGCGGAAUGCGCGGUGUAGCGGUGAAAUGCAUAGAUAUCGCGCAGAAGUCCGAUUGCGAAGGCAGCAUGCCGGCUCCACACUGACUCUGAGGCACGAAAGCGUGGGUAUCGAACAGGAUUAGAUACCCGGGUAGUC
rnacentral:rRNA from 1 species